UCUGAGCUGCGUUUUCAGGGUGUAGUGCAGGAAAACAUGAACCGCCGUGAGCACGGUCUAUUUUAUUUAGAAAAUUAACCGGAUGUUUUAUUUGUUUCUGUGCUCGACU